GACGAACGCUGGCGGCGUGCCUAAUACAUGCAAGUUGAGCGCUGAAGGUUGGUACUUGUACCAACUGGAUGAGCAGCGAACGGGUGAGUAACGCGUGGGGAAUCUGCCUUUGAGCGGGGGACAACAUUUGGAAACGAAUGCUAAUACCGCAUAAAAACUUUAAACACAAGUUUUAAGUUUGAAAGAUGCAAUUGCAUCACUCAAAGAUGAUCCCGCGUUGUAUUAGCUAGUUGGUGAGGUAAAGGCUCACCAAGGCGAUGAUACAUAGCCGACCUGAGAGGGUGAUCGGACACAUUGGGACUGAGACAAGGCCCAAACUCCUACGGGAGGCAGCAGUAGGGAAUCUUCGGCAAUGGACGAAAGUCUGACCGAGCAACGCCGCGUGAGUGAAGAAGGUUUUCGGAUCGUAAAACUCUGUUGGUAGAGAAGAACGUUGGUGAGAGUGGAAAGCUCAUCAAGUGACGGUAACUAACCAGAAAGGGACGGCUAACUACGUG
rnacentral:rRNA from 1 species